AUUGAACGCUGGCGGCAUGCCUUACACAUGCAAGUCGAACGGCAGCAUGGAGAGCUUGCUCUCUGAUGGCGAGUGGCGAACGGGUGAGUAAUGCAUCGGAACGUACCGUGUAAUGGGGGAUAACGUAGCGAAAGUUACGCUAAUACCGCAUACGACCUGAGGGUGAAAGCAGGGGAUCGCAAGACCUUGCGUUAUACGAGCGGCCGAUGUCAGAUUAGCUAGUUGGUGAGGUAAAGGCUCACCAAGGCGACGAUCUGUAGCGGGUCUGAGAGGAGGAUCCGCCACACUGGGACUGGGACACGGCCCAGAUGCCUGCGGGAGGCAGCAGUGGGGAAUGUUGGACAAUGGGGGCAACCCUGGCACAGCCAGGCCGCGUGAGUGAAGGAGGCCUUCGGGGUGUAAAGCUCUUUCGGCCGGGAAGAAAUCGCACAGGCUAAUACUCUGUGUGGAUGACGGUACCGGCAUAAGAAGCACCGGCUAACUACGUGCCAGCAGCCGCCGUAA
rnacentral:rRNA from 1 species